GCCACUUUCUAUUCUUCUUCAAUAGAGCCAACCAGGUCAGAGUGUGCUGGAUGUAGAGUUGGCACGUGAACCACCCUUGUGUCCCAGUUCUUUUUUUAAAGAACUCCUGAGUCAAACUGACCCAGCAAAAACUUGCACAAUGUUUUGUCUGAAGGGGAGAAGUGCUGUUAAGUGAACCAGUCCAACACCUACCUUUUGUGAGGAUUCCUCCACUCUCCCCAACCCCCUAGCAGUAUUGUGAAUCAAGUUCAGUGAAUAUACAUCUAGUUUUUAUAAACUAUUUUCCUUGGAUCCAACAGUAUGUUGAAUGUCAAAAUGAAUAUGACGACAGUUUGACUAACCCAUUUAAUCUCUUUUUACAGUAUCCUUCAAGCCAUGGAUGCUGUGUGCCUACUGAGGAGUUAAGGAGGACUGGACAAUAGGUUUCAAAAUAUUCCCUCCUUAAUUUGGUUGGGAUUAUGGAGAUUGAGAAUAACUGUACCAAUUUCUGUUUAAUUCUAGUUUUAAUUUGCUGUGGAAAUAUUCUCUCUCCUUUUUAUCUCUCCACCAACCAACUCCUGGGAUUUUUUGGUGUCUUUAAUAUUAAUGGUUUAUAUUUUUUUAGAUAUUGAUUUUUUUUGUAUGAGUUUUUGAAUCAUGUGCUCAAAUUGCCUUACUGACGCAGAGCUUUUAUUUCUGUGCGAUGAUGCACUUUGUAACCGCAGAGAUUUAUCUUCCUUGAGUGCACUUGCUUUGUAAAUUAAUUAUAAGGGACUGAGAUGAAGGAAAAUCACUAACUGUCACACUUGCCACUGAAAACACAACAAUAUUCAAUUCAAAAAAAUAAAUAAAUCUGUAAAGUCAAGUUUUCUACUUUCUCUAUUUACUUAAAAUGUAUGUAAAUCCAGAUGAUUUCUCAAAUUUUCAGUGUUAAAUCUAGGUGAAAUGUUAUAAACUUUGGUAGUACUUUCAAGCAUACUUGCAUGAACCUGUAUGGAGCAUUGUUUCAAUCUGUUUAAUUAAUUUACCAUAAUCUAGAUGAAAAUACACAUCUAAUUAGUGGAAGGGGAAGUAAUUUGAAGUUGCUUUCCCCACAAUUCUGAGCAGCAGUUAUUAACCUUCAACAACUAGGGCCAUCUUUUGUUUAUUUACCAAUUAAGAUCUCAGCCACAUUUUAGAUUUGCUAAAACUCCUAGCCUGCAUUCUCAGUCAAACGAGGGUUUUUUUUUAAAAAAUCUUGCAUCUGAGUUUUUUGAGCGUUUUUCUGUUUUUAUUUCUGAGAGCAGGGAUGGCUUCUGCUUAUUGGAAGUGUCAGUGGUGCAGUGUGUCACAUCACCAGCUGAGAAUACCAAUUAACUGAGAUGGAACAUACUUUGGAGCCUCUACCAUUACUAUCUACAGCCACAGACCGUACCAGGUGCCUCGUGACAUCAGCUUGGUCUCCCUGAGUGAACUGUAACUCACCACCACUGCUGAUUGCUUUCUUGUCACCCUGUGUGUGUGCAGAUGUCUAGGAAUGCAAGAGUUACAGAGCUGCUUCAUAUUUAAUAUUGUUGGGAGGAGGACUUAAGUUUUGAUGAUAAAGGAAAACAGCUUUACUUGGUGUCCUGUGGAAAUAACUGUGGUUGUUUGAUAAAAGAGCUCAUUGAAAGUUCACUGUGGACAUCAGAGAAUUUUUUAACAAGACUUCCCGGGAACCACAUGAUUGGUGGUAACUGGAGAAUCUGAGAUAACAAGGUGCAGAGCUGGAUGAACACAGCAGGCCAAGCAGCAUCAGAGGAACAGGAAGGCUGACGGUUCGGGCCUAGGCUUGGCCUGCUGUGUUUAUCCAGCUCUGCACCUUGUUAUCUCUGAUGGGUGGUAACUGCUUGUUUUGCUGCAGUCCACGCUGGGGCUGUUUUGAACAGUAACUGGUUUCAAGACAUACUUAUUUUCUUUGGUUCAAUUGGAGGAAAGCCUACAAAAAGCAAACUGAAUUGGAGGGAAGCCUGAAAAGACCACGCUGCCCAGAUGAUCUCUUUCUUCCUUUUUUGAAGAGAAAAUAAUGAGUUCAGGAUGAAAACCAUUUGUUCUUUUGAAAGAGUGAUUGAAGGAACAGCUCAAGAUUUUAUUUGCUGAACAAACAGUCUGCAAGAGUUCAGAGAUAACAUUGUGUUUAAUGAUUUGACCACAAUACCAGAAGAUCAGACUCUGGGACAUUCUGUGCUUUAUCCCUCUGCCUUCAAGAAUAACUCUUUGGCCAAACUGAUUUGUUUUUCCAUAAAGUUAAGCUCUACAGAGAUUGUUCCUUUUCCUAGAGCUAUGUGCAUGGGUAUGUAUGUGUGUCAGUAGAUGUGUGUCUGGGAGAGUGUUUGUGGAUAUGAUUUGGAGAUAUUUAGAAGAAUAUACUUCAACAUUACUGACUGUGUUAACCAACCAUUCGAUAAUAAACCAAUAUCUGUGUUUUAAGUAA